AUGGUGGCUUUGCAGAGGCACGCAGACGCAGCUGCCUCGUGCUGCGUGCCCUGACGUGUCCGCCGUGAUUCGCGUACCUGCUCGGAAGGGAAGCGUGCAGGCCGGGCCAGGGACCGCCCCUGCCCAGCGCCCGGGGGAUUUCCUGCUGCAGAGCCCGGCCACGGCCAUCUUCCCAUCUUCCCCCAAGAAGCAGCAUUUGGUAACCAGGGAAACGCAGGGCUGAGAACACGGAGGGCUCAGGGCUCAGCCCACGGCCGGGAAUCAGGAGCGAAUCUGUGGCCGGAGAUGGGGGCUCAGUCUGUGACCAGGGAUCAAGCCUCAGCCCACGACAGGGGAUGGGGGGCAUGUUGGGCCAGAGCGCAUCUUGGAGUUCGAGCCGUGCUGAUGGGGCCGGAUCUAGUUCACUCGUAACCACCGUUGGGCCUCUUGUCGUGCGAACAACCAGUAUGGACACGUUUCCCCGGGCAGAGACCUUCUUUCCGCGUGCCACUUUUGCUCUGACGAAUAAGCCUCUGGGAACAAGCGUCGUGGUGAGCGAGCGCACGCCGUCGCCGGCAGGGAGCCACCCAGAGCGGAACCGUGCGGUCCUCGCGGGAGCUCGCGCCACCUCAGCCUCCGCAGGAGCUGCCAAAUUGCUCUCCAAAGUGGCUCCGACAAUUUACCGCCCGCUAGCGAUGGUGAGAGUUCCCGUCUCUCCGCGUUCUCGCCAACGUUUCGUGUUAUCAGACGCAUCAGCAUUUGCCAGGUGAUGGGUGUGAAACGGUGCAUCGUUAAGGCUUUAUUUUGCUUUUUCCUGAUUCUGGGUGUGGAUGAGCACCCCCUCACCCCGGCCCCCGCCGUGCCUCACUGGCCUCUUGGGUCUCCUCGCCCGAGAGCUGCCUGGUUGCGCACUGGCGUUCUCGUCCUCUGUCCAUUUUCCUCUUGGGUCGUUUGGUUUCUUCUGAUUUGUGUGUUUAUUGUAUAGUCACCACCGAGAUGCGAUACAAACAUUCUCUUGUGCUUUUUAAAAACGUUUUACAGUUUUGCAUUUCACAUAUAGGUCUUUACUCCAUCUGGAACUUAUUUUUGUGUUUGCGAUGAGGUAGACAUCUAAUUUUAUCUCUUUAGUCAUUUACCCUGUACUGAUUGUGGCACGCACGGGGACUGGGGUUUUUAACAUGGCUUCACGGGCUCCGUGAACCCCGAGGAUCGUGACAGUCAUAAGCAAGGUUGUGUGCCCGUGUCUGCACAUUUUUCUGAGGAGGGUGCAUAGACCUCACCUGAUUCUCUAAGCCGUCAGGGACCCCAGAUAAUUCGAACAGCCCUGCUCGCUGCCCAGAGCCACUCUGUGAGGGGGUGAAGGCAGGGGCAAGGUUGUGGAUCUUUCUUCUCUGAGGAUCCUUCUUCUGACACUGUCCUUCUUGGGUUUGUUCACUUUUGGCAUUCACCUGGAGCCGUUUGGCAUGCCUGGGCCUCUCCCGUUAGGGAGGAUGACACCCCACCCCACCCCCCACCGAAGAACCAGGAGGGACGUGGGUACGAGACGAUGGUCCGGGAGAAGCCGGCCCAGCCAAGUCCAGGGCUCUUUCCUCCCAUCCAAGUACUAACCAGGCCCGACCCUGCUUAGCUUCCGAGAUCAGACGAGAUCGGGCGCGUUCAGGGUGGUAUGGCCGUAGACUAGGGCUCUUUCCUAUCAGACUUGGACUCCCUGGGCCGCCCUGUCCUGGUGGGGGCAGGAAUGAGCACACGGGGAGGGAGCCGGGGUGAGAG
ensembl:lncRNA